AGUGACAUGUCGUUCGGUGGUGAAUAGGCAUUUGAUGCAAAAUAUUUUCAAUUUUUUUCCAUUAUUCGAUUGGUACAUUUGUGUUAAAUAUGUUUUGUUAAGCUCGUUCGUGUAGAUUUACGCAUAUCUGAACUUUGUUUAGUGUUUAUUUUUUAAUUUUUGCACAUAGCCAUGGAUCUCGAAGACAAUGCAAUGGGUUUAACCCCUGAACAAACUGAUAAAAUUCUUCAAUUUCAAGAUUUAACCGGCAUCGAGGAUAUGUCGAUAUGUAGAGACGUUCUGCAGAGGCAUCAGUGGGAUUUAGAGGUAGCAAUACAGGAACAGUUGAACAUCAGGGAGGGGCGGCCAUCGGUGUUCGCGACGGAGGCGCGGGCGCCGCCCGUGGUUCACGACCACAUAGCGCAGCAGGUGUUCACAGACGAGCCGCCGGAGGGCCCAGGCGGCGUACGUGGCCUCAUCAGUUACGUCGUCAACCUAGUCGUGUCCAUGUGCUACAGCACAUUAUCAUCCGUACUGAACUUACUAUUAAGUUUCAUACGUACUGAUGACAGACGAUUGGUAACUGACCCUCUCGGCGAUGUUAUGGGCUUCGUCAACAGCUACACAUCCCGCUACAGCCCUCACCCUGUGUUCUACCAGGGCACAUAUGCGCAAGCUCUUAAUGAUGCUAAGAAUGAGCUGCGUUUCCUCAUUGUGUACCUACACUCUGAGUCUGCUACUGAGACUCAAAACUUCUGCAGGACCACCCUGGCCGACCCAGAAGUGAUCCAAUACAUCAACACGCACGCCCUGUUUUGGGGCUGCAGCAUCGAGAGCGCUGAAGGGUGGCGCGUGGCGCAGUCGGUGGGCGGGCGCCGGUACCCGCUGGUGUGCGUGGUGUGCGUGCGCGACCACCGCAUGACCGUGGUGGCGCGCAGCGAGGGCGCCUGCCAGCCGCGGCAGCUGCUGGCGCGCCUGCGGCAGGUGGUGGCCGACAACGAGCCGCAUCUAGCCGCCGCUCGCGCCGACAGGGUGGAGCGCGAGGUGACGGCCCGGCUGCGCGCGGCGCAGGACGAGGCUUACGCGGAGUCGCUGGCGGCCGACCAGGAGAAGGAGCGGCGCCGCGCCGCCGACCGCAUCGCGCGGCUGCAGCGCGAGAACGAGGACAUCGAGCGCCGGCAGAUGGAGGAGCUCAAGAAACAAGAGCUGGUAGAGGCGCGUGCGAAGAUGGCGUCCCGGCUGCCGACGGAGCCGGCGCCCGGCGUCGAUACCGUGGCGCUGCUAAUCCGCCUGCCGGGCGGGGAGAGGCUCACCCGACGGUUCUCACUCAAGAGCACUACGAAGGACUUGUAUGACUUCGUGUUCAGCCACCCGCAGGCACCAGAGGAGUUUGAGAUCACGACUAAUUUCCCGAAGCGAGCGGUCGCGCGUGGUUCAUUAAACCUCUUCGAAGUUGGCCUUAAAGACCGCGACGUGCUAUUCGUCAACGAUAUCAACGCAUAGACUAGAUACAGGAGUGAUCAGGGCUUGAAGACAAGGGAUUAUAUCACGAGGGAGGGACCGAAAUCCAGGAACGGCACUAACAAUCGUUGGGCACUAAGGGGUGCCGUAGCACAUGGUUGAGGUAUUAUGUUAGUGCCCAUACUCUACUGGAUAAGUUAGUGCCGGCCAUGUCGAAAAUCUGAAGUUUUACAGAGAUAAAUUAACCUCAUAAGCAGUUUAUAUUUAUGAAUGUCAACUUGUUAAAACCAAUCGUAUCCUACACGAAUAAUAACUUGUAUUGACAAUUUGUUUAUUAUGUAUACUUACCUAGGUAAGUACAAGUCAAUAAGUAUAUAGAAGAGUUUGUAUAAAAUACAGUUUUUCCAAUCAUUUUGCACUGUUACCUCACAGAAAAUAUAUCUAGAAAUAGAUAAAAAUAUUAUAGAUCCUACAUUGAGCAUUAGUUAUAAAACGUAUACCUGUCAAUUUUAAAGCAUUCUGAGGAUAUCCUUAAGAAUAUAAGGUUAAAACUUGCCACCUUUGAAUCACCUAGUAAUCUUUUGAUGCUUCGGUUGAAUUUAGUAUUAUUCUUGGGUAACUAUGCAAUUCUCCACAAGUGAACUACAAUAUGAUUCAAGCCCUGUUUCUGUCCGAUACUCUAUUUGUAUUUUUAUACAUGACUUAAAAUUGACAAGGGUGUGGAAUGUGGUAUGAAUAACUCGUUAUUGCGUUUGGUCUUCGCUCGGACAAUUUUUUUGCGGUACCCUAAACGUUUAGACAAUUUUGGGAUAUCACUACUGACUUGUUUGUUAAUUACUAAUGUAAUACUUUUGUAUGUGAACUUUUCAUAAAGCGAUUUAAAAAACAAUUAAGUAUAAUGGAUGUGACAGAUUAGGUCGCCCUCGACAGGGUCAUACUAAUUUUGUACUUAACUAUUUCCAGUGGUGAAUGCGUGACUACUUGCCAACUUAUCUCCAAUACCAUCAUGUGAAGUAGCCACACUAAACCACACAAGAUUAUUGUAAAAUAAUUUUAAUUAUUGUUGUUUCUUAUAUUUUGAAGUUUUGUUUACCUUCGAUCAGUACCAUACGUGUAUAAGGUCGAAAUCAUGCAAUUAUUUAUAAUUAUUAUAAAUGUUUUUGUUCCUUUUGGCAAAUGCUCAAAAAUAAGUCUAUUAUAUCGUUUCGGCAAAAGAUAGAAAUUUUAUUUUUUCUCGAGACCUCCUAUGUGGAGUCCUGUAAUAUAAACAAUUGUGUAGGUAUCAAUGAUAUCAUGCCAAUCUUAAUAAAUGUGCUGGACAGAAAUACUACAUUGUUGAUUUUGACAUAUCAAUUUCGACCAUUCAUAGUAGCAUCUUCUCCACAAAAGAUUAUGAUGUUUUGUUUGCCUGUCCACUUUCUUUUUUCAGGUUCUUAACUAAAUAUAGUUAUAUUUUGUAAGUUGUGAUUGGUAUACUAUAAGUAGCUCUAGAUAAAUCAAGGAAGCUUGCUGCUCGACAUAUUCGGGCCGUUCAAUCGAGCAAUAUCUGUAUCUUUAUUUUUGUAUACUGCAUUUGUCACUCAUUUAGUUGAAGCUGUUUAGCCUGAAAACAAAAUCAGAAUACUCAUUGUUCCUUUGAUGCGACUGGAGGGUUCUUGUAUAUAAAUUUACGCGGUCAUUUAUUUCGAUUUUGAAUUCGCCAGUCAAGUAUAGCAUAAUGAGACAAUCUGGCGUGGCGUUUGUCAGGACGUUCAUAGUUGUCGAGUAGCAGUAACAUUGGCCGUGCAUUUUGUUUGUUUUCAUUGGAGACACAAGUUCUGUGAUCGCGUACCUUGUGCGUCAUUGUGCGAGGUACGCCAGGUGCGGUGCGUCGAAUAACGACUUCGUGCAUUUAUUUGAGGACGGACUGUGUAUUAUAAUUUUUAUGUUUUGUUGUAUAAUAAUAAAUAAUGUUCCUUCCCUA
rnacentral:misc_RNA from 1 species